rnacentral:snoRNA from 1 species
AAUCGGCAAGGAUGAUGAUUCAAUUAGAUGUGUGAAUGGAGAUUUCUCCAUAUUGAACACAACCUUUUGAGGCAUAUUUAAUUGUCUGACUUCCAUGUU